UAUGGUAAUUGCCAGCCGCCGCGGUAAUACGUAUGGUGCAAGCGUUAUCCGGAUUUACUGGGUGUAAAGGGAGCGCAGGCGGUGCGGCAAGUCUGAUGUGAAAGCCCGGGGCUCAACCCCGGUACUGCAUUGGAAACUGUCGUACUAGAGUGUCGGAGGGGUAAGCGGAAUUCCUAGUGUAGCGGUGAAAUGCGUAGAUAUUAGGAGGAACACCAGUGGCGAAGGCGGCUUACUGGACGAUAACUGACGCUGAGGCUCGAAAGCGUGGGGAGCAAACAGG
rnacentral:rRNA from 1 species